rnacentral:tRNA from 1 species
UCCGGUGUAGCUCAGUUGGUAGAGCAGGUGGCUGUUAACCACCCUGUCCGCGGUUCGAGUCCGUGCACCGGAGCCA